rnacentral:rRNA from 1 species
CGACUACAGUCAGAGUUUGAUCCUGGCUCAGGACGAACGCUGGCGGCGUGCUUCAUACAUGCAAGUCGAACGAGAAGUCUACUUCGGUAGAUGGAAAGUGGCGGACGGGUGAGUAAAAUGUAGGAAAUCUGCCCUUAAGAGGGGGACAACAGAGGGAAACUUCUGCUAAUACCCCAUAUGAGCGUAGCUGAAAUGCUAUUCUUGAAAACUCCGGUGCUUAAGGAUGAGCCUGCAUCUGAUUAGCUAGUUGGGGGUGUAAUGGACCACCAAGGCGACGAUCAGUAGCUGGUUUGAGAGGAUGAUCAGCCACAAUGGGACUGAGACACGGCCCAU